UACGUAGGGUGCGAGCGUUAAUCGGAUUUACUGGGCGUAAAGCGUGCGCAGGCGGUGAUGUAAGACAGAUGUGAAAUCCCCGGGCUCAACCUGGGAACUGCAUUUGUGACUGCAUCGCUGGAGUGCGGCAGAGGGGGAUGGAAUUCCGCGUGUAGCAGUGAAAUGCGUAGAUAUGCGGAGGAACACCGAUGGCGAAGGCAAUCCCCUGGGCCUGCACUGACGCUCAUGCACGAAAGCGUGGGGAGCAAACAGG
rnacentral:rRNA from 1 species